GAUGAACGCUGGCGGCGUGCCUAAUACAUGCAAGUCGAGCGAAUGGAUUAAGAGCUUGCUCUUAUGAAGUUAGCGGCGGACGGGUGAGUAACACGUGGGUAACCUGCCCAUAAGACUGGGAUAACUCCGGGAAACCGGGGCUAAUACCGGAUAACAUUUUGAACCGCAUGGUUCGAAAUUGAAAGGCGGCUUCGGCUGUCACUUAUGGAUGGACCCGCGUCGCAUUAGCUAGUUGGUGAGGUAACGGCUCGCCAAGGCAACGAUGCGUAGCCGACCGGAGAGGGUGAUCGGCCACACUGGGACUGAGACACGGCCCAGACUCCUACGGGAGGCAGCAGUAGGGAAUCUUCCGCAAUGGACGAAAGUCUGACGGAGCAACGCCGCGUGAGUGAUGAAGGCUUUCGGGUCGUAAAACUCUGUUGUUAGGGAAGAACAAGUGCUAGUUGAAUAAGCUGGCACCUUGACGGUACCUAACCAGAAAGCCACGGCUAACAACGUGCCAGCAGCCGCGGUAA
rnacentral:rRNA from 1 species